rnacentral:piRNA from 1 species
AGGAGGACUACAGAUAUGUACGACUGAGCC